rnacentral:rRNA from 1 species
GCAGGCGGUUAUGCAAGACAGAUGUGAAAUCCCCGGGCUCAACCUGGGAACUGCAUUUGUGACUGCAUAGCUGGAGUGCGGCAGAGGGGGAUGGAAUUCCGCGUGUAGCAGUGAAAUGCGUAGAUAUGCGGAGGAACACCGAUGGCGAAGGCAAUCCCCUGGGCCUGCACUGACGCUCAUGCACGAAAGCGUGGGGAGCAAACAGGAUUAGAUACCCUGGUAGUCCACGCCCUAAACGAUGUCAACUGGUUGUUGGGAAGGUUCCUUCUCAGUAACGUAGCUAACGCGUGAAGUUGACCGCCUGGGGAGUACGGCCGCAAGGUUGAAACUCAAGGGAAUUGACGGGGACCCGCACAAGCGGUGGAUGAUGUGGUUUAAUUCGAUGCAACGCGAAAAACCUUACCUACCCUUGACAUGCCUGGAAUCUUGCAGAGAUGUGAGAGUGCUCGAAAGAGAACCAGGACACAGGUGCUGCAUGGCCGUCGUCAGCUCGUGUCGUGAGAUGUUGGGUUAAGUCCCGCAACGAGCGCAACCCUUGUCAUUAGUUGCUACGAAAGGGCACUCUAAUGAGACUGCCGGUGACAAACCGGAGGAAGGUGGGGAUGACGUCAGGUCCUCAUGGCCCUUAUGGGUAGGGCUACACACGUCAUACAAUGGCCGGUACAGAGGGCUGCCAACCCGCGAGGGGGAGCUAAUCCCAGAAAACCGGUCGUAGUCCGGAUCGCAGUCUGCAACUCGACUGCGUGAAGUCGGAAUCGCUAGUAAUCGCGGAUCAGCUUGCCGCGGUGAAUACGUUCCCGGGUCUUGUACACACCGCCCGUCAAA